rnacentral:rRNA from 1 species
GACGGAGGGGGCUAGCGUUGUUCGGAAUGACUGGGUGUAAAGGGCGCGUAGGCGGUAUUUUAAGUGAGGCGUGAAAGCCCUGGGCUUAACCCAGGAGGUGCGUUUCAUACUGGAAUACUUGAGUGCGAGAGAGGAAAGUGGAAUUCCUAGUGUAGAGGUGAAAUUCGUAGAUAUUAGGAAGAACACCAGAGGCGAAGGUGGCUUUCGGGCUCGCAAUUGACGCUGAGGCGCGAAAGCGUGGGGAGCAAACAGG